rnacentral:rRNA from 1 species
AUGCUCCCACUUCAUUGUUCAUACAUGAGACACAUCAGAAAAUUACCAAUGUCUUCACCUGGCCUUGCCCUGCUGCUGCUGAUCUCCUUGGCGUCUCCCACCAGUUCCUGUACAGAGCAGGACAAGACCUCCCUCCUCCAGUUUCACGCCGGGCUCUUACCGGAAGGCGGUCUCCUCGCAUGGCAGAAUCACACCGAUUGCUGCAUGUGGGAAGGAAUCACCUGCAGUGCAAAGGGGAUGGUUACAGAUGUCUCGCUGGCUUCUAGGAGUCUUCAGGGGCACAUCUCACCUUCUCUAGGCAACCUCACCGGAUUGUUGCGCCUCGACCUGUCGAGCAACCUGCUAUCCGGUGGACUGCCGCCGGAACUUCUGUCCUCCGGCAGCAUCAUCGCCAUUGACGUCAGCGUUAACCGCCUGGAAGGAGAGUUUCAGGAGUUGGCCCCUGCAUCUGCAACCCCUGACCGGCCACUGAAGGUACUGAAUAUCUCCAGCAAUUUGUUUACAGGACCGUUUCCGUCUACCACGUGGCGGGUGAUGAGAAACAUGGUUGUGCUUAGUGCCAGCAACAACAGUUUUACUGGGAAGCUACCGACUGACAUGUGCACCAGCUCGCCAUCAUUAGCUGUGCUCGAGCUCUCUCACAACCAGUUUAGUGGCAGAAUUUGGCCUGUGCUUGGCCGUUGCUCCAUGCUCAAAGUGCUCAAGGCUGGCUUCAACAACCUCAGUGGGACUCUCCCGGAUGAAUUGUUUAAUGCCACCUCGCUGGAGCUCCUCUCUCUUCCCAGGAACGGUUUACACGGAACACUGGAAGGUGCAAAUAUCAUCAAACUCAGUCAUCUGGCUACCCUUGAUCUUGGAGAUAACAACUUCAACGGCAACAUUCCGGAGUCUGUAGGUCAACUCCAGAGGCUGCAAGAGCUUCAUUUGAACGAUAACAUGAUGUCUGGGGAGCUGCCAUCAACUCUGACUAAUUGCACAAACCUCAUGACCAUUGAUCUCAAGGGCAACAAUUUCAGCGGUGAACUCGCCAAGGUCAAUUUCUCCAAACUACCCAGUCUCAGGAUUCUAGAUCUUAUGUCGAAUACAUUCAGUGGCACGAUUCCAGAAAGUAUAUACUCAUGCAGGAAUCUAACUGCACUGCGGCUAUCUUCCAACAAAUUCCAUGGCGAGUUAGCAGAGGGACUACGUAACCUGACGUCCCUCUCCUUCCUGUCGCUAGGUAAUAAUAGUCUUACGAAUAUAACAAAAGCACUUAAGAUACUUGGAAGCUCAAAGAACCUCACCACCCUCCUUAUUGCGCACAACUUCAUGUAUGAGGUCAUGCCACAGGAUGAUACCAUCAAGGGUUUUCAGAAUCUUCAGGUUUUUUCCAUAAACAGUUGCUCACUGUCUGGACAAAUACCUCGUUGGUUAUCAAAGCUCACAAAUUUGGGGGCGUUAAUGUUACAUGACAAUCAACUGACUGGAUCCAUACCUGACUGGAUCAGCAACCUAAACUUCCUUUACUUCCUUCAAAUAUCGAAUAACAGCCUGACAGGGGAAAUUCCGACAGCGUUAGCGCAGAUGCCAAUGCUGAGAUCAGAGAAGACAGGCGCCCAUUUGGACCCGAGAGGCUUUCAACUGCCCAUUUAUUUAGGCCCAUCACUUCAAAUAAGCAUGGAUAGUGCUUUCAGAAAAGUGCUGGAUUUAAGUGUGAAUAAACUCGUUGGUGAAAUCCCUCGAGAGAUUGGUCUAUUGAAAGCAAUCUGGGGACUUAACUUGAGCUCAAAUUUACUAUCCGGAGAGAUUCCACAGUCAAUCUGCAACCUCACAAACCUGCAGGUGCUUGACUUAUCCAUCAAUCAUCUUAGUGGCACAAUCCCAACGGCACUGAAUGAUCUGCACUUCCUUUCUGAAUUCAAUGUCUCUAAUAAUGAGCUACAAGGGCCAAUUCCAACAGGAGGACAAAUCAGUACAUUUCAGAGCUCUAGCUUUGAUGGUAAUCCAAGGUUGUGUGGCCCACUGCUAAACCGCUACUGCGAUUUAGCACAAGCAGCUCCGGUCCCCAUCACCUCUGCAAAUCGAUGGAGCAUCGAGGUCAUCUUUUCAAUUGCAUUUGGUGUGUUCUUUGGGGUAGGAGUGCUAUAUGAUCAGUUGGUGCUAUCUAAAUUUUAUGGCUGA